GUUGGUUUCUGUCAGGGCUGCUUUGAAGCGGGGUCUCAAAGUCAGUUUACUAGCGACUGGCUUUGUGUAUCUGCUGAGAUUCAGUUCCUGUCAGCGUUGUUUGAGGGUUCAGUUUGUGUUGAGUUGAUUCAAGUCUGAGUUGGUUUGUAUCAGAGUUAGUUGAGUAGAUUCAGGGCCAAGAGUUGUUUUUUGUCAGUGUAGUUUGACGGUUUAAUCAGUUGAGUCGAUUCAGGGCCAAGAUGAGCUCAUCAACCUUAUUCCCUAAGCUGCAUGCAUUUGAGGAAAUUGUCCACAUGUAACUACUUUAUAUUUCCCACUUGUCUUUUUCCUCUAUUGUUUAUCCUGGGAUCCCCCUCACCACUAGUUUAAAUCAGCCCCCCCAGCAUUCGAUAAUCUCUUGGCCAGGAAGCUAACCCCUGCCUUGCUUAAGUGCCACCCAUCUGCAAGGUAAUGAUCCCACCUCCCCCAGUAGUGGUCCCAAUUGUCCACAAAAUGGAAGCUUUCUUUUCUGGACCAUUUUUCUAGCCAGUCCAAGAAGUGGCUCGGGGUUGCUGUCACCUCUGUGGCGUGUUGUCAUUUACUGAUAAGAGGGGACCCUCCGCCCUUUCCCAAAGCCGUCUUUGUUCCUUUUCCACACACAGAAAAUCUGAUGUGUUCUAUCCGGUGACUGUCAGUACAUUCGACAUUGGUUUAAUGUUCAUUAUUAUUGUACAACUUCUAUAGUCGAAGAACAGUAAAUUCUGGGCUUUUAUUUGUUUGUUUGAAGCUGAUUUUGUGCAACUUGAGAUUUGCGCACUUUUCCUGUUUUAAGAGGUUUUAUACAGACAGCCUCGCGUGUGCGCGCACAGACGCUCCCCGGCCCCACCCAGACUCGGGGCCAGGAUUUGAGACCCGGCACCUUUCCCGUUGACGCCUCAUCCUCCGUAAAUGGCCGAUCGAUGUCCUUGGGCUCCGGGACUCCCAGCACAUUCGGCUCCAGCAAUAGCAAAUGCUCGCCAGCCGACCACAGGCAGAAAUCAGAGGCCUACAAAUCCAUUUUCACCUCCCACAGCUCAGCGAAACGCUCAAAGGACCAGGAGCCAAACUGGAUCACCCACACUGCAUACUACUUCUGAAACAGCCAGAACCAGAUACCAUCACCGCCUACUUUAUUUAGUAAACCCAGGAGAUUAAAUUUCUUUCCUCCAUGUGGACUUUUUCUCUGGGAUCUCUUCCUAAUUCUGCUGAGUGGCUCUUGUGUGAUUUUAAUCCUGGUGGUAAUGAAAGUGAAAAUGUUUAAUUGGUGAUGGGAUCAGACUGAAGUGGUGAGACUUACCUCAGGUCUAGAGCUCACACUAAUUAUUGCUCAAACGUGCUUCCAAUUGUCUACUGGUGGCUUUACUCUCAUGAAAACUUCAUUUUGCUUAAUAAAUCUCACAAAGGAG